rnacentral:rRNA from 1 species
AUAAAGUGGCGAACGGCUGAGUAACACGUGGGCAACCUGCCCUUUGCACUGGGAUAGCCUCGGGAAACCGAGGUUAAUACCGGAUACUCCAUAUUUGUCGCAUAGCGAAUAUGGGAAAGCUCCGGCGGCAAAGGAUGGGCCCGCGGCCUGUUAGCUAGUUGGUGGGGUAGUGGCCUACCAAGGCAAUGAUGGGUAGCCGGGUUGAGAGACCGACCGGCCAGAUUGGGACUGAGACACGGCCCAGACUCCUACGGGAGGCAGCAGUU